GUCCACGCCCUAAACGAUGUCUACUAGUUGUCGGGUCUUAAUUGACUUGGUAACGCAGCUAACGCGUGAAGUAGACCGCCUGGGGAGUACGGUCGCAAGAUUAAAAACUCAAAGGAAUUGACGGGGACCCGCACAAGCGGUGGAUGAUGUGGAUUAAUUCGAUGCAACGCGAAAAACCUUACCUACCCUUGACAUGGCUGGAAUCCCCGAGAGAUUGGGGAGUGCUCGAAAGAGAACCAGUACACAGGUGCUGCAUGGCUGUCGU
rnacentral:rRNA from 1 species